rnacentral:rRNA from 1 species
GAGACUGCGGCGUCUUACCAUGCAAGUCGUACGAUGAACCACUUCGGUGGGGAUUAGUGGCGAACGGGUGAGUAACACGUGGGCAAUCUGCCCUUCACUCUGGGACAAGCCCUGGAAACGGGGUCUAAUACCGGAUAAUACUUCCACUCGCAUGGGUGGGGGUUAAAAGCUCCGGCGGUGAAGGAUGAGCCCGCGGCCUAUCAGCUUGUUGGUGAGGUAAUGGCUCACCAAGGCGACGACGGGUAGCCGGCCUGAGAGGGCGACCGGCCACACUGGGACUGAGACACGGCCCAGACUCCUACGGGAGGCAGCAGUGGGGAAUAUUGCACAAUGGGCGAAAGCCUGAUGCAGCGACGCCGCGUGAGGGAUGACGGCCUUCGGGUUGUAAACCUCUUUCAGCAGGGAAGAAGCGAAAGUGACGGUACCUGCAGAAGAAGCGCCGGCUAACUACGUGCCAGCAGCCGCGGUAAUACGUAGGGCGCAAGCGUUGUCCGGAAUUAUUGGGCGUAAAGAGCUCGUAGGCGGUCUGUCGCGUCGGAUGUGAAAGCCCGGGGCUUAACCCCCGGGUCUGCAUUCGAUACGGGCAGACUAGAGUGUGGUAGGGGAGAUCGGAAUUCCUGGUGUAGCGGUGAAAUGCGCAGAUAUCAGGAGGAACACCGGUGGCGAAGGCGGAUCUCUGGGCCAUUACUGACGCUGAGGAGCGAAAGCGUGGGGAGCGAACAGGAUUAGAUACCCUGGUAGUCCACGCCGUAAACGGUGGGAACUAGGUGUUGGCGACAUUCCACGUCGUCGGUGCCGCAGCUAACGCAUUAAGUUCCCCGCCUGGGGGAGUACGGGCCGCAAGGCUAAAACUCAAAGGAAUUGACGGGGGGCCCGCACAAGCAGCGGAGCAUGUGGGCUUAAUUCGACGCAACGCGAAGAACCUUACCAAGGCUUGACAUACACCGGAAACGUCUGGAGACAGGCGCCCCCUUGUGGUCGGUGUACAGGUGGUGCAUGGCUGUCGUCAGCUCGUGUCGUGAGAUGUUGGGUUAAGUCCCGCAACGAGCGCAACCCUUGUUCUGUGUUGCCAGCAUGCCCUUCGGGGUGAUGGGGACUCACAGGAGACUGCCGGGGUCAACUCGGAGGAAGGUGGGGACGACGUCAAGUCAUCAUGCCCCUUAUGUCUUGGGCUGCACACGUGCUACAAUGGCCGGUACAAAGAGCUGCGAAACCGUGAGGUGGAGCGAAUCUCAAAAAGCCGGUCUCAGUUCGGAUUGGGGUCUGCAACUCGACCCCAUGAAGUCGGAGUUGCUAGUAAUCGCAGAUCAGCAUUGCUGCGGUGAAUACGUUCCCGGGCCUUGUACACACCGCCCGUCACGUCACGAAAGUCGGUAACACCCGAAGCCGGUGGCCCAACCCCUUGUGGGAGGGAGCUUCGAAGUGAUGCCUUG